CUCAAAAAGUUAUGCAAGAUAGACUACUCGAACAUGUCAAUCGGAUACCGGACGAAGAAGAUUCUAUCAGAUUAGUGAGAAGGGAAAAAAAUCAUUUUUUGCAUCUAAACCGCCUGGCCUUUUCUGGGUGCCUUAAUAAUUUCUGAUCGGCCUUAUCUACCCGUGUCGAGAGGAUAAUCCCUCGUUUCUCUUUUCUUCUUCUUUUUCAUUCUUCUUUCUUCUUAUCUUUCAUUCUUCUCUGUUCCUUCUUCUUUCCUUCUUUUGGUCGAUUUUGUCGACGAAGCUAGCUUAAUUCGAUGCGAGUGAUUCAUCAAGGUUUAUUAGUUAGUUGUAUGAUGGAGAGGGUGAUGGUGCUGAAGUUGUUAGAUCACAGGAAGAAGCAGAAAAGGUUAGUCGUUAUUAAUAACGACCGAUUCAACGGAUGAUCUUGUAGACAUCGGAUCUCGAGGUAGGCGAGGCUUGUCAUCAAAACAGUUUCAGUAUUCAGAAGAGGUGGCCCGCAUGAAGAUAUUCGUUUCGUAGUUUGAAACUUUGGCCGAUUAAGAACGUUUAUGAAUCUUUUAUAUAUAUGUAUUCUUUGUUUAUCUGUAAAACAACACAUUAAUAUAUUUAUAUCACUUGAGAGUUUUCAUC